AAGCCCGCGACUGGCCUGCACCCGGCUCCGGAAGUCGUUCUUCCGCGCAGGAGCCCUGAGCCCGCACAGCCCCGCCCCUCCCGGCGCCCAAGCCCCGCCCCGCCGGGUUCCCGCUCGCCCGGCGCCAUGGAUCCGCCGUCGCCGCCGCUCUGCACGCUGCCGCCGGGCCCCGAGCCGCCCCGCUUCGUGUGCUACUGCGAAGGGGAGGAAAGCGGGGAGGGGGACCGCGGCGGCUUCAACCUCUACGUGACCGACGCCGCGGAGCUUUGGAGCACCUGCUUCACGCCGGACAGCCUGGCAGCCCUCAAAGCCCGUUUUGGCCUGAGUGCGGCUGAGGAGAUCACCCCCCGGUUCAGGGCAGCCUGUGAGCAGCAAGCUGUGGCUCUGACUCUGCAGGAGGACAGAGCAUCCCUGACGCUUUCAGGGGGGCCCUCGGCACUGGCCUUUGACCUCUCCAAGGUACCAGGCCCAGAGGCAGCCCCCAGACUGCAGGCGCUGACACUGGGCCUGGCAAAACGCGUGUGGAGCCUAGAGCGGCGACUGGCAGCUGCAGAAGAGACAGCCGUCAGCCCGAGGAAGAGCCCCCGGCCUGCAGGGCCUCAGCUCUUCUUACCAGACCCAGAUCCCCAGAGAGGUGGCCCUGGACCUGGAGUCAGGAGGCGGUGUCCAGGAGAGUCGCUCAUCAACCCCGGGUUCAAGAGAAACCAGCUGGUGGCGUGGACUUCGAUGAGACCUGAAGGUGCAGCACAAGCGUGGCCCCGCGGGGAGUCCGCCUGUGAGGGGAGAGAGGCAGUCUUCGAGGCCCCCAUCAGAGACCCCCCGCCACCACCUCCACCUGCCUGUCCUGGGCCAGGACUAAGACGGCUCCUCAAAUUCCUUCCCUGUCAAAUAAAGGGCUCCCUUGGUUGGAGGCUCUGGUGGGGCUCUGACUCCUGGCACUGGCCUGGGAAGGGAUCAGGGAACACCCCUGGGCCUGUGUUCUGGGAGUGGGGCCACAGGAUGUGAACAGAUGCUGCAGCCUCUCAGCUCCCUGGAGACUUCCUUGCUGGGCCGGAGGGAGCGCGCUGUCCAGGUAGCGGCGGACGCCGCGCAGCUCCGCGGGGAUGGGCGCCUGGCGGAAGUGCGCGCACACCGUCUGCGGGCAGGAUCG